ensembl:piRNA 21ur-4477 ncRNA
UCGAUAUGACGAUUAAAAAAG